UACGUAGGGGGCUAGCGUUGUCCGGAAUCAUUGGGCGUAAAGAGCGUGUAGGCGGUCCGGUAAGUCCGCUGUGAAAGUCGGGGGCUCAACCCUCGAAUGCCGGUGGAUACUGUCGGGCUAGAGUGCGGAAGAGGCGAGUGGAAUUCCUGGUGUAGCGGUGAAAUGCGCAGAUAUCAGGAGGAACACCUAUUGCGAAGGCAGCUCGCUGGGCCACUACUGACGCUGAGAAGCGAAAGCAUGGGGAGCGAACAGG
rnacentral:rRNA from 1 species